UACGUAGGUGGCAAGCGUUGUCCGGAUUUAUUGGGUUUAAAGGGUGCGUAGGCGGCUUUGUAAGUCAGUGGUGAAAUAUGGCAGCUCAACUGUCAAGGUGCCAUUGAUACUGCAGAGCUUGAGUACAGAUGAUGUUGGCGGAAUAUGACAUGUAGCGGUGAAAUGCAUAGAUAUGUCAUAGAACACCGAUUGCGAAGGCAGCUGACAAAACUGUAACUGACGCUGAGGCACGAAAGUGUGGGGAUCAAACAGG
rnacentral:rRNA from 1 species